rnacentral:rRNA from 1 species
AUUGAACGCUGGCGGCAUGCCUUACACAUGCAAGUCGAACGGUAACGGGCCUUCGGGUGCCGACGAGUGGCGAACGGGUGAGUAAUACAUCGGGACGUGCCCGAUCGUGGGGGAUAACGGGGCGAAAGCUUUGCUAAUACCGCAUACGAUCUACGGAUGAAAGCAGGGGACCGCAAGGCCUUGCGCGGACGGAGCGGCCGAUGGCAGAUUAGGUAGUUGGUGGGAUAAAAGCUUACCAAGCCGACGAUCUGUAGCUGGUCUGAGAGGAUGAUCAGCCACACUGGGACUGAGACACGGCCCAGACUCCUACGGGAGGCAGCAGUGGGGAAUUUUGGACAAUGGGCGCAAGCCUGAUCCAGCCAUGCCGCGUGCAGGAUGAAGGCCUUCGGGUUGUAAACUGCUUUUGUACGGAACGAAAAGCCUUCUUUUAAUACAGGAGGGUCAUGACGGUACCGUAAGAAUAAGCACCGGCUAACUACGUG